ensembl:rRNA 5S_rRNA 5S ribosomal RNA
GUUUACGGCCAUACCAGCCUGGGUACGCCUGAUCUCGUCUGAUCUCGGAAGCUAAGCAGGGUCGGGCCUGGUUAGUACUUGGAUGGGAGACCGCCUGGGAAUACCAGGUGCUGUAAGCU